rnacentral:lncRNA from 1 species
UUGGAUGAGAAGGCUUUGAUGGUUCUAUGAAAACUAGCCGUUAGGCUGAUUUGUUGCCUUUGGAGUAGACUGAUCUUGUAUCUUGAUAUCUUGGAGAAAUAUCCACGAAAUAUGAGUCUCUGGCUGCUGAUUAAACUCCUAAUGGUCUUGGUUUCUUCUGGUUCAAAGGAAUAGAGCCGUUGGUCCUUGCUCAUUAAGUGGAGACAACUUUCCUUGAAUGCAUAUGGUGUGGCCGGAUAUGGAAAGUAGAUGGUAAGGAGAAUCCGCCUGAUCCUCUGGGUGCUGGUGCAUCUAUGGAC